CGAAUGUCUUCGCUUGAUGGCAGUCAGUGCAGUGUCUGAUACAGCCAGCACACAGGAGACGUCGUACACCGUUUCGAUUCAAAAUGGCGUUCUGGAUAUUCGGCGAUUCUUUUUCCGUGACUUGGACCCUCGCAAUUGGUGCCAUCCUCAUCUUUUUGGCCUAUGACUGGUGGUGCCAUCAGUUUUUCCAAAGGGCGGGAAUUCCUGUGGUCCCAUACUACCCUAUCGUGGGCAAUGCCAUCGACUGGUUGAGGAAAGGCAACAACCUCUAUGCCGAGGAAUGCGUCAUGAAAUAUGGAAAAGUAGUUGG